rnacentral:rRNA from 1 species
GAUGAACGCUAGCGGCAGGCCUAACACAUGCAAGUCGAGGGGCAGCAUAAAACAAGCUUGCUUGUUUGGUGGCGACCGGCGCACGGGUGCGUAACGCGUAUGCAACCUACCCUGUACUGAGGGAUAGCCCGGAGAAAUUCGGAUUAACACCUCAUAGUAUAUGUCAUUCGCAUGUUUGACAUAUUAAAGGUUACGGUACAGGAUGGGCAUGCGUCCCAUUAGCUAGAUGGUGGGGUAACGGCUCACCAUGGCGACGAUGGGUAGGGGGCCUGAGAGGGUGGUCCCCCACACUGGUACUGAGACACGGACCAGACUCCUACGGGAGGCAGCAGUGAGGAAUAUUGGUCAAUGGGCGCAAGCCUGAACCAGCCAUGCCGCGUGCAGGAAGAAGGUCCUAUGGAUUGUAAACUGCUUUUAUUGGGAUAAACCUCUUUAACGUGUAGAGAGCUGAAGGUACCAAAUGAAUAAGCACCGGCU